GGGGUUGUGGCUCAGCGGUAGAGCGUUCGCCUUGCUGGUGCGAGACCCUGGGUUCGAUCCUCAGCACCA
rnacentral:tRNA from 1 species